UGUGAGAUGGCUGAGUUUUAAGCAGAAGAUUGUAGCUCUUUUUACGGAGAGUGUUUCUCCUCUCAUAA
rnacentral:tRNA from 4 species